rnacentral:rRNA from 1 species
AGCAUGUGGUUAAUCGAUGAUACGCGAGGACCUUACCUGGGCUCGAACGUAAGAUGACUGUAGGUGAAAGCUUACAUCUCUUCGGAGCAUUUUACGAGGUGCUGCAUGGUUGUCGUCAGCUCGUGCCGUGAGGUGUCGGGUUAAGUCCCAUAACGAGCGCAACCCUACCUUUAGUUGCCAUCAGGUAAUGCUGGGGACUCUAAAGGAACUGCCUACGCAAGUAGUGAGGAAGGCGGGGAUGACGUCAAAUCAGCACGGCCCUUACGUCCAGGGCUACACACGUGCUACAAUGGCCGAUACAGAGGGCAGCGACACUGCGAGGUGAAGCCAAUCCCGUAAAAUCGGUCUCAGUCCGGAUUGGAGUCUGCAACUCGACUCCAUGAAGUUGGAAUCGCUAGUAAUCGUGGAUCAGCAUGCCACGGUGAAUACGUUCCCGGGCCUU